rnacentral:misc_RNA from 1 species
GAUGAAGAACGUAGCGAAAUGCGAUAAGUAAUGUGAAUUGCAGAAUUCCGUGAAUCAUCGAAUCUUUGAACGCAUAUUGCGCCCUCUGGUAUUCCGGGGGGCAUGCCUGUCCGAGCGUCAUUACAACCCUCAAGCUCAGCUUGGUGUUGGGCCCCGCCGCCCCGGCGGGCCCUAAAGUCAGUGGCGGUGCCGUCCGGCUCCGAGCGUAGUAAUUCUUCUCGCUCUGGAGGUCCGGUCGUGUGCUCGCCAGCAACCCCCAAUUUUUUUCAGGUUGACCUCGGAUCAGGUAGGGAUACCCGCUGAACUUAAGCAUAUCAAUAAGCGGAGGA